GACGAACGCUGGCGGCGUGCUUAACACAUGCAAGUCGAACGGAAAGGCCCUGCUUUUGUGGGGUGCUCGAGUGGCGAACGGGUGAGUAACACGUGAGUAACCUGCCCUUGACUUUGGGAUAACUUCAGGAAACUGGGGCUAAUACCGGAUAGGAGCUCCUGCUGCAUGGUGGGGGUUGGAAAGUUUCGGCGGUUGGGGAUGGACUCGCGGCUUAUCAGCUUGUUGGUGGGGUAGUGGCUUACCAAGGCUUUGACGGGUAGCCGGCCUGAGAGGGUGACCGGCCACAGUGGGACUGAGAUACGGCCCAGACUCCUACGGGAGGCAGCAGUGGGAAUAUUGCACAAUGGGCGGAAGCCUGAUGCAGCAACGCCGCGUGCGGGAUGACGGCCUUCGGGUUGUAAACCGCUUUCGCCUGUGACGAAGCGUGAGUGACGGUAAUGGGUAAAGAAGCACCGGCUAACUACGUG
rnacentral:rRNA from 1 species